rnacentral:lncRNA from 1 species
AAGAUGAGGUUCCUGAGCUUCCAGUAGGCGACUGACUGCCCAAGAGACCCAGGGCUCCGCAAGGAGACGGCGCAGGUGUCGGGGCUCCCCGCAGGCCGGGAAAAAGUGUCCGAACGCCUCGUGGACUGCAGCGGGGGAAAUGUCCCUUAAAAGUGCGACGAAGUGGGGAAGAAGGUGUAAUUACUAUUAUCAGCAUCUAGAAAGCAUCAUGAAUUUGCUGGAGUACUUCCUAGCACUGACCUCCUUCAUUCUGCGUUGUUCUUACUGGAUCUUUCCAUCAGCCAACAAUAUGGAAGUACCAAUACAAGGUCAAAUCAUUCCUGGAUUCAUCUGGAGUUGCUUAAAAGUUAAAUCAUUGGAAUUUUUGAUGAUACCUUUUCUAUAUGGAUUACAAUUUGAUCGCUGGGAAUUCUCCACCUUAAAGAAGUACCCUCAGGUGACUACAGAUGUGUUAACACCCAGCAUGUUCCGGUAGGAGACUUUCUGGAUGGGGAAGAUUUCCAGGAAUUGGCAACAAGCUCAUUUCACUGGUGGGUUUGCUGAAGCAUUAUCACAAGACAGUCAGAAUGACUGAUGAGUGCUCUUCAGACUCAGCUAAGAGGACUUUGCAGUUGAGGCUGAAUCUUGAUCCAUGUAGUCCAUUCCCGAUGGUGCUAUUUAGAAGGCCUUUUGUUGUCUGAGCAAAGUUGUCUUCCUGGCCUUACUACUGAAUCUUGGCAAAGGAUCAAUGGGUGUGAAUCAUGGCAAUACAGUGAAAGACAGUGAUUUACUGCUUUUGAGGGCGUGCAUGUAUAUGAUUAACGGAUGGAAGUGCAGGACUCCAAGAUUUACUUCCUUCCCUUUCCAGCAGAAUUACCUGAGACGAGUAAAAUCUACUGGUGGAGUCACUCCAUUAUUCUUAUCUGUGGAGAUCUAGAUCUUGAUUUGAAAGUUUCUGAGAAAAUCUUCAGCUCAGACUUGAGGGUCAACUUUACCAGCUGAAGUGACUACAUCCUGCCUGCUUUCAGCUCCAGUGGAAAAUGCAUUAAUCCCAGAGUCUCCGUGAGGUUUCCUGUUUGAUGACAUAAUCAGAAAAUCCUCCUCACAUUGCCCUUGGGGUUGCUGUCUGGAUGUUAUGUUGUCUUGGUGGGUGUAACUCAGCCAUCAAAAAAAUCAGCACAGGCCAUAAACUCAGGACCUGAAAUGCAUUAAUAUAAUGUUAAACGAAAUAACGCUGUGGGUAUGUCUGCAGCACUGGUAGGGAAUUUCAUUAAACUGCAGAUUCUCCCUGGCAUCAGAUGCAUUGGCUGGUGACUCCGGUACAUAUGGCAUGAGCUGCUGCAAUGCCACUAGCAGGAGGUAUUUGAACUGCUCCAGUGUAAGCUGUUAGACUACAUCUCGUGGAAAAAUAACACACACCCUUGACUACCAGAGUUUGGUAGUGUUGAUUUAAGUAGUUCUUCCCUUCCAUUCCCCUCUGGGGCAGCCUGUUUACCUAAUAACGUUUUGCCUUUGGUGUUGAUCACAGGAAGCUGCAAAAAAGAAAACUAGUGGGAAGAGUCAGAAAUAGAAGAUGAGGAUACACUUUAAAAUGAGAAAAGCAAAAGAUGGCAUCUGACAUGUAGAGUGGGUUUUAAAAGUUUUAAAGAUAAGAUAUUGUGAGGCAGAAACUUCAGUAGCUGUGAAUAUAGUUGGAAAGAAGAAACCUUGAUAUAAAAGUAGAACCAAGAGUAGGAUAUUUAGAUACCAAAGGGCACGUACAAUUUUACAAGUUUAGAAGAUAUUGGCAUAGGAAAUUGAGCAUAUGCUUAAAUAUGGAUUUCCUUUGCUAUUUGGAGAAUUUUUUAUAUUUUUUUUAUUGUUUUGGUAGGCUGCCAUAACCCUCCAUUUGGUUGUCUUGGAUGGAAUAUCUCUUGCCUUGGAUCUUGGAAAUCCAAGCUUGAUUGGCACUUGGUCAGGAUGAGAACAAGGAAUGGGCCUCUUAGGAUGUUUUACAAGUUCUAGAAGUUACCUCCAUGAUCCUCCCUCCUGUUGUUGUACCAAACUCUUUCUUGCAUGUGUCUUCCUGGGGGUGGAGAGAGGUGGUGAGGGAGCUGGUGGGAGAAGCAGGCAAGAUACAGCUUGAUAGAGCUUCACUGGAGAGAAGUUAAAGAGGAAGGAGAGGUCUAAGCUCUAGCCAGUUGAAAGCCUGGGGUGAUGUCACCAUUCCUACCUCCUUAUAUCAGAAAUAUUCUUGGGUUUUCCAUAAUGUAUUCCAAGCAGCGGGACACCUUUCACAGAUGCUUCUCCUGUGUUAGGGGAAUCUGGACUAAUAUAACACUAGGAGGGAGAAAAUUGUGUUUCUUUAUCGCUACUGUGAACGUUGUUGUUUUUUAAAAUUUACAGCUGACUACUGAAUAAACUCUAAAACUUGGAGUUCUGGAUUUCAGGUUCUGUGAUCUGUUUUCUUGUAUAGCUCUGUGAUGGUUACGUGACCAAGCUGUGAGCAUUUACUCUCAAAACAGCUUCAUUUAAACCAUCCUAUGCCUUGUACUAGAAUAAUGCUACCCCAGAGCGGGAAGGGCUCUGAAAGAUCACAUCUAAUGGGUGAACCUCUUUACCCAGGUGUGUUGUGACAAGAGUGGGGGAGACUAUGAUCCUUUUUAUUCUAGAUAUGUAGCGCAGGUUGGUUGUGUUAGUGAAUGUACCAUCUCACACAUCAUAUUGAGCUGAAU